AUUGAACGCUGGCGGCAGGCCUAACACAUGCAAGUCGAACGAGUGGCGGAAGGGUGAGUAAUGUCUGGGAAAAUGCCUGAUGGAGGGGGAUAACUACUGGAAACGGUAGCUAAUACCGCAUACCAUAAGAUGUGCCCAGAUGGGAUUAGCUAGUUGGUGGGGUAACGGCGCACCAAGGCGACGAUCCCUAGCUGGUCUGAGAGGAGUAGCAUCCGCACUGGAACUGAGCCACGGUCCAGACUCCUACGGUAGGCAGCAGUGGGGAAUAUUGCGCAAUGGGGGCAAGCCUGAUGCAGCCAUGCCGCGUGUAUGAAGAAGGCCUUCGGGUUGUAAAGUACUUUCAGCGGUGAGGCGUUACCCGCAGAAGAAGCACCGGCUAACUCCGUGCCAGCAGCCGCGGUAAUAC
rnacentral:rRNA from 1 species